rnacentral:tRNA from 1 species
GGGGCCGUAGCUCAGUCGGUAAGAGUGCCGCACUGUCACUGCGGAGGUCGCGGGUUCGAGCCCCGUCGGCCCCG